GUAAGGAAUAUUGGUCAAUGGGGGCAACCCUGAACCAGCCAUGCCGCGUGAAGGAUGAAGGCGUUAUGCGUUGUAAACUUCUUUUGUAUGGGAAGAAUGACAGGGAUUUAUCCUUGGAGAGACGGUACCAUACGAAUAAGCACCGGCUAACUCCGUGCCAGCAGCCGCGGUAAUACGGAGGGUGCAAGCGUUAUCCGGAAUCACUGGGUUUAAAGGGUACGUAGGCGGUUAAUUAAGUCAGUAGUGAAAGACUGUCGCUCAACGACGGAUGUGCUAUUGAUACUGGUUAACUUGAAUCAGGUUAGAGUUGGCGGAAUGGGUCAUGUAGCGGUGAAAUGCUUAGAUAUGACUUGGAACACCGAUAGCGAAGGCAGCUCACUAAGGCGAUACUGACGCUGAGGCACGAAAGCGUGGGGAUCGAACAGGAUUAGAAACCCGGGUAGUCC
rnacentral:rRNA from 1 species